AUUGAACGCUGGCGGCAUGCCUUACACAUGCAAGUCGAACGGUAACGCGGGGCAACCUGGCGACGAGUGGCGAACGGGUGAGUAAUGUAUCGGAACGUGCCCAGUUGUGGGGGAUAACUGCUCGAAAGAGCAGCUAAUACCGCAUACGACCUGAGGGUGAAAGCGGGGGAUCGCAAGACCUCGCGCAAUUGGAGCGGCCGAUAUCAGAUUAGGUAGUUGGUGGGGUAAAGGCUCACCAAGCCAACGAUCUGUAGCUGGUCUGAGAGGACGACCAGCCACACUGGGACUGAGACACGGCCCAGACUCCUACGGGAGGCAGCAGUGGGGAAUUUUGGACAAUGGACGCAAGUCUGAUCCAGCCAUGCCGCGUGCGGGAAGAAGGCCUUCGGGUCGUAAACCGCUUUUGUCAGGGAAGAAACGCUCUGGGUUAAUACCUCGGGGUAAUGACGGUACCUGAAGAAUAAGCACCGGCUAACUACGUGCCAGCAGCCGCAGUAACAC
rnacentral:rRNA from 1 species